rnacentral:rRNA from 1 species
UACGGGGGGUGCGAGCGUUGUCCGGAAUCACUGGGCGUAAAGGGCGCGUAGGUGGCGGGACAAGCGUGCGGUGAAAGCUCGGGGCUCAACCCCGAGUCGGCCGUGCGAACUGUUUUGCUUGAGCACUGUAGAGGCAGGCGGAAUUCCGGGUGUAGCGGUGGAAUGCGUAGAGAUCCGGAAGAACACCGGUGGCGAAGGCGAGUCCCUGGACAACACCUGACACUGAGGCACGAAAGCUAGGGGAGCAAACAGG